rnacentral:rRNA from 1 species
GACGAACGCUGGCGGCGUGCUUAACACAUGCAAGUCGAACGGAAAGGCCCUGCUUUUGUGGGUUGCUCGAGUGGCGAACGGGUGAGUAACACGUGAGUAACCUGCCCUUGACUUUGGGAUAACUUCAGGAAACUGGGGCUAAUACCCGAUAGGAGCUCCUGCUGCAUGGUGGGGGUUGGAAAGUUUCGGCGGUUGGGGAUGGACUCGCGGCUUAUCAGCUUGUUGGUGGGGUAGUGGCUUACCAAGGCUUUGACGGGUAGCCGGCCUGAGAGGGUGACCGGCGACAUUGGGACUGAGAUAGGGCGCAGACGCGUACGGGAGGCAACAGUGGGGAAUAUUGCACAAUGGGCGGAAGCCUGAUGCAGCAACGCCGCGUGCGGGAUGACGGCCUUCGGGUUGUAAACCGCUUUCGCCGGUGACGAAGAGUGAGUGACGGUAAUGGGUAAAGAAGCACCGGCUAACUACGUG